GAUACGAUUCCUGAUGGUAUUCCUGAUGGUGCUUCUACCAAUGUCACUACCACCAAUGUUACUACUACCAAUGUCACUACUGCUAAUGCCACUACAAAAAAUAUUACUACAAAAAAUAUUACUACAAAAAAUAUUACUACAAAAAAUAAUUUACUAAACGACAUUACGAAGAUACUCAAAAUAAUAAAAAAAAUAAAACAUAUAUUUGCCCUUGGGAUAGUAUUAACCAUUAUUUCGUCCCUAAUAGAUUCUUAUGUUCCAAUUUGUUUAUCAAAAGCCAUUUCAUAUAUAAUAGAUAUCAGCUCAAGUAAUGUUAUGACCACUGGUACUAGCAUCAGUAGCAACACCAAAACCAAAACUACUAGUGACAUUCGUUUAGUUAGUCCUUUAAUAAUUAACUUUAUAGUUACUAACCCUUUUUAUACUUAUAUAUUAAUUUCGUUUUCAAGUAUAAUAGUUUCUUUGUUACGAUCAUAUAUAUUCAAUAUUUGUACAAAUAUAAGUACCAAUAAAUUACAAAACCAUUUAUUCAAUGUAUUAAUUAAUAAAAAAUUUAAAAAUUUAAAAAAAAAAAAAAAAAAAAGUACUGAACUAAUAAGUAGAAUAAACAUAGAUUCAGUUGAACUAAUAGAUGUAUUUACAACGAAUUUAGUGGUAUUGUUCAGAAAUAUAAUAAAACUCAUAUUAUCAUUUUAUUUUUUAUAUAAAAUAAAUGUACGUCUUUUUAUUUUUUCAUUUUUUAUAGUUUUUAUUAUUUCAAAUAUAUCUAUUUAUUUUACUACUACAUUCCGAAAAAUUGCCAAAGAAGAAUGUGACAUGCUUGAACAUUCUAAUAGUAUUAUACAACAAGUAAUUGAUCGAUUUUCAUUUAUAAAUAUUUUUAACACACAACGUAGAGAAAUACAACGGUUUAAAAACUCAUUAGAUAAUAUAUAUAUAUCUAGAAGAAAAUUAGGUUUUUUAUAUAUUAUUGAAAAAAUGUUAAUACGUUUAAUUGAUCUUACAACUCUUAUUGUUACACUUAUAUUAAGUAAAAUAACAAUACAAAAUAAUAGAUAUACAAACACAAAAUCCAUCGUUUCAUCUGUUAUGUUUAUGAAAAACAUUAUAGCUUAUUCUUGUACUAUCGAACAUCAAUAUGCACGACUUCAAGAACUUAUAAACAACACGGAAAGUAUUUUAGAACUUAUUGAUAAUAAAAAAAUACAUAAAAUAACAAAAAAAUCAAUUGCUAUUGAUAAUUCUUAUUCUUAUCUAUUCAAUUUUGUUAAUUUAAAAAAUUUUAUAUUUAGAAGAUCUAUAAUAAACAAAUUUCAUAAUAUACAGAAAAACACGGAUUAUAUUGCUAAUAUAAUGAAACCUAAUUAUUUAACUCUUUUUGAAAGGAAUUACAACCAAUUAUCAGAUAUAAUACUUGGUAAAAAAAAAAAAAAUUUGUUGCAAAAGGAUAAUAAGAAUAGUACAAAUGAUCUUUCUGCAGGUAAGGAUUUUUCUAACAGCAGUGACAAAAAUAAUUACUGUUAUGAAAAAACCAAAACUGAAUCAAAAAUAAAUAAAAACGAUAACAGUGACAAUUACUAUGAUAAAAAUGAACAAACAUUUACUAAAAAUAGUGAACAUACAAAUGAUUACACAUUGUUACAUAUAGAUAAAAAAAACAACAUUAAUACAAUAAAAAAUAAAACGAAUGACACGAGUGUACAAACGUUCAAAAACACAACGUUGUUAAGUGACAAAAAAUAUAUAUAUAAACAUACUCCAAGUGCUAUCAACCUAAAUAAAAAAUUAAAAGAACAUGACGAUUUUGACAAAACAAACGAAACAAACGAAACAAGCAAAACAAACGCUUUUGUGGAUGAACCAACUAAAAAUAUCAAUUAUAUGGACACAUACAAAAUUUUGUAUAAUAAAUUAAAAAAAACUAAAAACAAAAUAAACAUUGAACAAAUACAACAGUUUAUUAAAAAUGAUAAUAAUCUCAUAAUAAAAAACAAAUUAGAUGAAAAAUUCAUUAAUUUUUUAAAAAAAAAGUAUAAAAAAGAUAUCAUACAUUUAAUAAUUAAAUUAUAUCAACAAAAAAAUCAUUGCAUAAGUGAUAAAUAUUUAUUUAUGUUUGAUAAUAUUUCUUUAUUUAAAAAAUUAAAUAUUCAGGACAAAAAAAGCAUUUUAAAAAUGUGUAAAAUAACAAACAAUACAUUAUGUAUUAUAUUACUUACAAUUUUGUUUUACAAUUAUCCUAAAAUGUAUUAUAAAAAAAAAAAAAAUAAAAAAAAAAUAAACCCUAUGGAACAAAGUAAAAUUAUAAAUAAUGAAAUAUGUACGACUAUCCAUACCGCAUCACCAACCAGAGGAGCAACUGAACAAGCAACGGAAUCUACAAAUACCAUUUCAAAUGUGAUACUCAAUAAAGUCCCCAAUAUAACUAAUGGUAAUUUUUCACAUACUAUCGAUCAUAACAGUGAUUUGAACCAAGCUUCCACCUAUAACAUAAAUAUAAAGAAUGUUUUGAAUAAAGCCACAUCGCUUUAUACAUACAAAAAUACUAUGCAAGAAUCUUUUAAUGAUAGCUUAUCAUAUACAUAUACAAAUAAUAAUAAUAAUAAUAAUAAUAA
rnacentral:lncRNA from 1 species